rnacentral:rRNA from 1 species
AUUGAACGCUGGCGGCAGGCUUAACACAUGCGAGUCGAGCGGUAACAGAGAGAAGCUUGCUUCACUGCUGACGAGCGGCGGACGGGUGAGUAAUGCCUAGGAAUCUGCCUAGUAGUGGGGGAUAACUUGCCGAAAGGUAAGCUAAUACCGCAUACGUCCUACGGGAGAAAGGAGGGGACCUUCGGGCCUUUCGCUAUUAGAUGAGCCUAGGUCGGAUUAGUUAGUUGGUGAGGUAAUGGCUCACCAAGACCGCGAUCCGUAACUGGUCUGAGAGGAUGAUCAGUCACACUGGAACUGAGACACGGUCCAGACUCCUACGGGAGGCAGCAGUGGGGAAUAUUGGACAAUGGGGGGAACCCUGAUCCAGCCAUGCCGCGUGUGUGAAGAAGGUCUUAGGAUUGUAAAGCACUUUAAGUUGGGAGGAAGAGCAGUUAACUAAUAUUUGACUGUUUUGACGUUACCGACAGAAUAAGCACCGGCUAACUUCGUGCCAGCAGCCGCCGUAA